UACGGAGGGGGCUAGCGUUGCUCGGAAUGACUGGGCGUAAAGGGCGCGUAGGCGGUUCAUACAGUCAGAUGUGAAAUUCCCGGGCUUAACCUGGGGGCUGCAUUUGAUACGUGUGGGCUUGAGUGAGGAAGAGGGUUGUGGAAUUCCCAGUGUAGAGGUGAAGUUCGUAGAUAUUGGGAAGAACACCGGUGGCGAAGGCAGCAACCUGGUCCUUUACUGACGCUGAGGCGCGAAAGCGUGGGGAGCAAACAGG
rnacentral:rRNA from 1 species